AGAUAGAUAGGUCUGUCUAGGUCUGUCUAGGUCUGUCUAGGUCUGUCUAGGUCUGUCUAGGUCGGUCGGUCGGUCGGUCGGUCUAUC
rnacentral:miRNA from 1 species